CGCAACGUGUGGCCAGCGGGAGCGGUAAUACAGAGGACCGGGGCGUUAACGGGAAUUAAUGGGCGUUAAGAGUGCGUAGGUGGGCAUGUUAGGCGCUGGUUAAAGCCCGGGGCUCAACGCCGGAAUCGCGGGCGAAACGGCAUGACUCGAGGGCAUGAGAGGUCUGUAGAACUCUAGGUGUAGGGGUGAAAUCCGUUGAUAUCUAGGGGAAUACCGAAAGCGAAGGCAGCAGACUGGCGUGUUCCUGACACUCAAGCACGAAAGCGUGGGUAGCGAACGGGAUUAGAUACCCUGGUAGUC
rnacentral:rRNA from 1 species